rnacentral:rRNA from 1 species
UGCAAGUCAAACGGAGAUUACUAACGGAAGUUUUCGGAUGGAAAACUGUAAUUCUUAGUGGCGGACGGGUGAGUAACGCGUGGGCAACCUGCCCUAUACAGGGGGAUAGCAGCUGGAAACGGCUGGUAAGACCGCAUAAGUCGGUUAAAUCGCAUGAUUUGAUCGGGAAAUGAGCAAUCAGGUAUAGGAUGGGCCCGCGUCCGAUUAGCCAGUUGGCAGGGUAAAAGCCUACCAAAGCGACGAUCGGUAGCCGGACUGAGAGGUCGGACGGCCACAUUGGGACUGAGACACGGCCCAAACUCCUACGGGAGGCAGCAGUGGGGGAUAUUGCACAAUGGAGGAAACUCUGAUGCAGCGACGCCGCGUGAGUGAAGAAGUAUUUCGGUAUGUAAAGCUCUAUCAGCAGGGAAGAUGAUGACGGUACCUGACUAAAAAGCCCCGGCUAACUACGUGCCAGCAGCCGCGGUAAUACGUAGGGGGCAAGCGUUAUCCGGAUUUACUGGGUGUAAAGGGAGCGCAGGCGGUUUUGCAAGUUGAGAGUGGAAGCAGGGGGCUCAACCCCCUGACUGCUCCCAAAACUGUAAAACUUGAGUAUGGGAGAGGCAGGCGGAAUUCCUAGUGUAGCGGUGAAAUGCUUAGAUAUUAGGAAGAACACCGGUGGCGAAGGCGGCCUGCUGGACCAAAACUGACGCUGAGGCUCGAAAGCGUGGGUAGCAAACAGGAUUAGAUACCCUGGUAGUCCACGCUGUAAACGAUGAAUACUAGGUGCUGGGAUGCAUAAGCAUUUCGGUGCCGUCGCAAACGCAUUAAGUAUUCCACCUGGGGAGUACGUUCGCAAGAAUGAAACUCAAAGGAAUUGACGGGGACCCGCACAAGCGGUGGAGCAU